AUGGGCUUUGUUGCUGCUCUGGAGGAACAGCUUGUCAGGUCAGCUUUGCAGAGAGGCAUAUUCCCAAACCAGUCAUCAUUAACGGACUCACUUCCACAAGCAAAGAAAAAAAAAAAAGACAGAGUCUGAAAACUCCGGACAAAAGAAAUCCCUGCAGACAAAGUAAAAACAAAUUAAAAGACCCAUUAUAAAACACAGAUGCUACAAGGAAAAUAAACUUUCCAAGAUUUACUGGGCUUUGACAAACUUGGACAUUUGUGGAAAAGACAUCAGCAGCAACUCCCAGGUUUCUAGUAGCACAAGCUACAGGUUGUUGUUAAUGGGGGACAAAGAAGAUUCUUCAAGAACCGAAGGUGUGAGAAUCUAAGAACUACAAUGGAAUAAAGUGGACUAAAUGGACCAUUUGGAAGAUAAAGACAGGACGCGUUCAGCGCUACCAAGACCUGUCUGUAUGGUAUGACUUCCUGACCAGGCCCCGGGGCUAUGCGGAGGCGACAAACAACCCAACCGACAUCCGACAUCCCAGGCCAGGCCACCCAGCGCCUGAGCAUCCUGUUGUGCGACA